GACGAACGCUGGCGGCGUGCCUAAUACAUGCAAGUCGAGCGGACUGAUUAAGAGCUUGCUCUUAUGACGUUAGCGGCGGACGGGUGAGUAACACGUGGGCAACCUGCCCUGUAGAUCGGGAUAACACCGAGAAAUCGGUGCUAAUACCGGGUAAUAUCUGAGAUAACAUGAUCUUAGGUUAAAAGAUGGCUCCGGCUAUCACUACAGGAUGGGCCCGCGGCGCAUUAGCUAGUUGGUAAGGUAAUGGCUUACCAAGGCGACGAUGCGUAGCCGACCUGAGAGGGUGAUCGGCCACACUGGGACUGAGACACGGCCCAGACUCCUACGGGAGGCAGCAGUAGGGAAUCUUCCGCAAUGGACGAAAGUCUGACGGAGCAACGCCGCGUGAGUGAUGAAGGGUUUCGGCUCGUAAAGCUCUGUUGUUAGGGAAGAAACAGUACCGAACGAACUAGGUCGGUACCUUGACGGUACCUAAACAGAAAGCCACGGCUAACUACGUG
rnacentral:rRNA from 1 species